UACGUAGGGUGCAAGCGUUGUCCGGAAUUAUUGGGCGUAAAGAGCUCGUAGGCGGUUUGUCACGUCGGCUGUGAAAACCCGAGGCUUAACCUCGGGCCUGCAUUCGAUACGGGCUGACUAGAGUUCGGUAGGGGAGACUGGAAUUCCUGGUGUAGCGGUGAAAUGCGCAGAUAUCAGGAGGAACACCAAUAGCGAAGGCAGCUCGCUGGGACGUUACUGACGCUGAGGCGCGAAAGCGUGGGGAGCAAACAGG
rnacentral:rRNA from 1 species